UCGAUACGACAGGGGAGCACCGCCGAGUGCUGAGAGUGCGGUCAUCCGCAGACCCUCGAACCUGCUCCGGUUAGGACCGGCGAAGGCAGUCGGGAUUCUCAUCGU
rnacentral:ncRNA from 2 species